AGUGAACGCUGGCGGUAGGCCUAACACAUGCAAGUCGAACGGCAGCACAGUAAGAGCUUGCUCUUACGGGUGGCGAGUGGCGGACGGGUGAGGAAUACAUCGGAAUCUACUUUUUCGUGGGGGAUAACGUAGGGAAACUUACGCUAAUACCGCAUACGACCUACGGGUGAAAGCAGGGGAUCUUCGGACCUUGCGCGAUUGAAUGAGCCGAUGUCGGAUUAGCUAGUUGGCGGGGUAAAGGCCCACCAAGGCGACGAUCCGUAGCUGGUCUGAGAGGAUGAUCAGCCACACUGGAACUGAGACACGGUCCAGACUCCUACGGGAGGCAGCAGUGGGGAAUAUUGGACAAUGGGCGCAAGCCUGAUCUAGCCAUACCGCGUGGGUGAAGAAGGCCUUCGGGUUGUAAAGCUCUUUUGUUGGGAAAGAAAAGCAGCAGGUUAAUACCCCGCUGUUCUGACGGUACCCAAAGAAUAAGCACCGGCUAACUUCGUG
rnacentral:rRNA from 1 species